CUCUUGUUUGGAUGAAUUUCUUAAGUCUCUGAUUGGGAAGAUCUCAAUUGCAUACUCUUCGCGUCCUCUCUCCUUGUCUCCUUCUCAAAACCAAUUGGAUGAGAAAGCCAGAGGUCCCGCCCCUCUGAUCUUCUUCUUCAAUGAGUUUUGAGAAGGAGACAUACAGCUGAAUGUGAUCAAUCAAUGAGCCAGUGAUCGGAUGGCAAUUGCAGGUUCAGGCAAUAAAUACACACCCAGCUAAUAGGGCAACUAAGCAAGACAGAUUGUGUUGCUUUGUUCCAUAUUCUCUGAACCUUUAAGAUCUGCUUGUGCUCCACAUGAUGCCCAGAGGUUAAGAGGCUACAUGUAUUCUGGCUCUUCCCAAGUGGAAGAUGAACAGAAACAACCAAGUGAUGGCUAUUCUCAGGAUCAAAUCAAAACAGCUUUUAGUACUUCAGGUUCUGUCCAGAGUGACGCUACUCCCAGAGAGACUGGACCCAACACCCAUAACCAGGAACUAUCCCCCAGAGGCUAUGCUUCAAGCUCGAUCCAGCCUGCCCCAAGAAUGUUAGGCCUCUCUGGCUCUAUAGCCAGUAGAACCUCUGUCAGCCACAACAAGCGUCACACCCUUGCCAGUAUAACCUCAGGCCAAGGUGUCACCAACCCUAGUGCAGUGAGGAUGGUUUCAAGUUGGGACGCAAAGGGAAUCCAGCCCAAAACCUUUUCGUUACAGCCUCGUUCAAGCAACUCUGGAUCUGUUCAGAAAUUCCUGGGAAGCCAUUUAUUCAAGUCAACCCCCCAGAAUUCUGUGGCACAAAGUGGAAUUGACCAGUCCGUAAGGGAAAUGGCUUCCACCCCUUACCUUCAAGCUCC
rnacentral:lncRNA from 1 species